AAGAUAGAAGAUCAUCAACUGAUCGUUCAUCCACAUGCUGCUCUUCUUCUACCUCGACAUUCUUUAAUUUCUCUCGUUCUUUUAAUUCUUUCCUUUUCCUUGCAUAGAGUCGAUUGAGAAGACGGAUACGUGGAUCAUCGGUCAUAUUUCUCAGAGGUUCCAACUUCUCUUCCUCUGUUAAAUCAUCUGGCAAAUGGAAAGUUUCACGUAUCUCCUCGGGAGU
rnacentral:misc_RNA from 1 species